rnacentral:pre_miRNA from 1 species
UCUGAUGUGUUAUUGAUAGAGUAUAUAACAUAUUCCUGGGCUUCAACCAAAAGCUUAAGUUGAUAAUUAAGGCCCGAGAAUAUGUUAUAUACUCUAUCAGUUAUGUGAG